rnacentral:rRNA from 1 species
AGAGUUUGAUCCUGGCUCAGAGCGAACGCUGGCGGCGUGCUUAACACAUGCAAGUCGAACGCGCGGUUGUAGCAAUACAGCUGGCGCGUGGCGAACGGGUGCGUAACACGUGGAUAACCUUCCUUGAGGUGGGGAAUAACCCAGUGAAAAUUGGGCUAAUACCGCAUAACAAGACGAUGGCACAUGCUGUGGUCUUCAAA